CACGUAGGGGGCGAGCGUUGUCCGGAAUUACUGGGCGUAAAGGGUGCGUAGGCGGCUACUUAAGUCCUGUGUGAAAUGCCCCGGCUCAACCGGGGAGGGUCAUGGGAAACUGGGUGGCUUGAGUGCCGGAGAGGGUGGCGGAAUUCCCGGUGUAGCGGUGAAAUGCGUAGAUAUCGGGAAGAACACCAGUGGCGAAGGCGGCCACCUGGACGGCUACUGACGCUGAGGCACGACAGCUGGGGGAGCGAACAGG
rnacentral:misc_RNA from 1 species